rnacentral:misc_RNA from 1 species
GGGAGGGGUAAUCCCUUUUCCCUUAAUCCUGCCUGGGAAGAAGAGAUUGACGAUUUAGCUCUAAGAGCAAAUUCUAAUGAUCUCGACGUAAAUUCAAAGUCAAGGCCUUGCUCUUAAACUAUCACCCUGAAAGAAGAUACCCAAGUUUGGUGAUACUUGAAUUUUUUCCCUUGUCCUAACUGGCCAGUCAGUAUUUGGUGGUUUCAGAGUGAGUUCGUUGAAAC